rnacentral:rRNA from 1 species
UACAGAGGGUGCGAGCGUUAAUCGGAAUUACUGGGCGUAAAGGGUGCGUAGGCGGAUGAUUAAGUUAGAUGUGAAAUCCCCGGGCUUAACCUGGGAAUUGCAUUUAAGACUGGUUGACUAGAGUAGAGUAGAGGGAAGUGGAAUUUCCGGUGUAGCGGUGAAAUGCGUAGAUAUCGGAAAGAACAUCAGUGGCGAAGGCGGCUUCCUGGACUCAUACUGACGCUGAGGCACGAAAGCAUGGGGAGCAAACAGG